CGAGUGGCGGACGGGUGAGUAAUGUCUGGGAAACUGCCUGAUGGAGGGGGAGUAACUACUGGAAACGGUAAGCUAAUACCGCAUAACGUCGCAAGACCAAAGAGGGGGACCUUCGGGCCUCUUGCCAUCGGAUGUGCCCAGAUGGGAUUAGCUAGUAGGUGGGGUAACGGCUCACCUAGGCGACGAUCCCUAGCUGGUCUGAGAGGAUGACCAGCCACACUGGAACUGAGACACGGUCCAGACUCCUACGGGAGGCAGCAUG
rnacentral:rRNA from 1 species